AACGCACGAGACCUGCGGACCUGCGGAGGGAUCAUUAAUGAGAAGCUGCCCCUCGUGGGUAGACCUCCCACUCUCUGUGAACUUACCUUUGUUGCUUUGGCAGGCCCGUCCUCUGGACCGCCGGCUUCGGCUGGCCCGUGCCUGCCAGAGGAUUCCAAACCCUGUCUGUCAGUGUUGUCUGAGUCUAUAUGAAAUCGUUAAAACUUUUAACAAUGGAUCUCUAGAUCGGAAGAGCACACG
rnacentral:misc_RNA from 1 species